UGGGGAAUAUUGCACAAUGGGCGCAAGCCUGAUGCAGCCAUGCCGCGUGUGUGAAAGAAGGCCUUCGGGUUGUAAAGCACUUUCAGCGAGGAGGAAGGUGGUGAACUUAAUACGUUCAUCAAUUGACGUUACUCGCAGAAGAAGCACCGGCUAACUCCGUGCCAGCAGCCGCGGUAAUACGGAGGGUGCAAGCGUUAAUCGGAAUUACUGGGCGUAAAGCGCACGCAGGCGGUUUGUUAAGUCAGNUGUGAAAUCCCCGGGCUCAACCUGGGAACUGCAUUUGAAACUGGCAAGCUAGAGUCUCGUAGAGGGGGGUAGAAUUCCAGGUGUAGCGGUGAAAUGCGUAGAGAUCUGGAGGAAUACCGGUGGCGAAGGCGGCCCCCUGGACGAAGACUGACGCUCAGGUGCGAAAAGCGUGGGGCAGCAAACAGGAUUAGAUACCCUGGUAGUCCACGCUGUAAAACGAUGUCGAUUUGGAGGUUGUGCCCUUGAGGCGUGGCUUCCGGAGCUAACGCGUUAAAUCGACCGCC
rnacentral:rRNA from 1 species